rnacentral:piRNA from 1 species
CAAAGUGAAUAGGGAGAGGCAGCUUG